rnacentral:rRNA from 1 species
GACGAACCGUGCGAACGUUGUUCGGAAUCACUGGGCUUAAAGGGCGCGUAGGCGGGCUCACAAGUCAGGGGUGAAAUCCCACGGCUCAACCGUGGAAGUGCCUUUGAUACUGUGGGUCUUGAGGGAGGUAGGGGCGUGCGGAACUUCCGGUGGAGCGGUGAAAUGCGUAGAUAUCGAGAGGAACACCUGCGGCGAAGGCGGGUUGCUGGGCUGACACUGACGCUGAAACGCGAAAGCUAGGGGAGCGAACGGG